UGGGGAAUAUUGCACAAUGGACGGAAGUCUGAUGCAGCGACGCCGCGUGGGGGAUGAAGGCUUUCGGGUUGUAAACUCCUUUUGAUGCUGAACAAGGCUCUUUUUAGGGUUGAGGGUAGGUGUUGAAUAAGCGCCGGCUAACUACGUGCCAGCAGCCCCGGUAAUACGUAGGGCGCGAGCGUUGUCCGGAAUUAUUGGGCGUAAAGGGCUCGUAGGCGGUUUGUCGCGUCUGCUGUGAAAGACCGGGGCUUAACUCCGGGGUUGCAGUGGGUACGGGCAGACUAGAGUGCGGUAGGGGUAGCUGGAAUUCCUGGUGUAGCGGUGGAAUGCGCAGAUAUCAGGAGGAACACCGAUGGCGAAGGCAGGUUACUGGGCCGUUACUGACGCUGAGGAGCGAAAGCAUGGGGAGCGAACAGG
rnacentral:rRNA from 1 species